UACGAAGGGGGCUAGCGUUGUUCGGAAUUACUGGGCGUAAAGCGCACGUAGGCGGAUAUUUAAGUCAGGGGUGAAAUCCCAGAGCUCAACUCUGGAACUGCCUUUGAUACUGGGUAUCUUGAGUAUGGAAGAGGUAAGUGGAAUUGCGAGUGUAGAGGUGAAAUUCGUAGAUAUUCGCAAGAACACCAGUGGCGAAGGCGGCUCACUGGUCCGGUACUGACGCUGAGGUGCGAAAGCGUGGGGAGCAAACAGG
rnacentral:rRNA from 1 species